rnacentral:sRNA from 1 species
GUGCAAGGGAUGCGUAUUCUCGAAUAAGGUAAGGAUACUGGAUACCACGUUAAGAGAUGGUGAACAAGCUCCAGGAAUAGAUUUUACUGUUGAACAAAAGGUAAGAAUAGCAAAUCAAUUAGUUAAACUGGGUGUAGAUGUAAUAGAAGCCGGAUUUCCUGCUUCUUCUGAAGGAGAUUUUAUUGCAACUAAGAAAAUUUUGGAAGAAGUAGGAGAUAAAACUGAAGUUAUUGGUCUAGCUAGAGCAAAUAA